CGUGACGUAUGCAGUCGUCGUCACAAAACCCAGAAAAAACAAAGAUGAUGAUGAUGAAUCCUCAUUUCAACCUGUUUACUCUACUUUGAUGAUGAGUAAAACUCCACAUGAUCUCCAACAGGAAUCCGGAUUAUUAAACUCCGCAGCGACUCCGAGGUCCACAGCAGCCGAACACUCAGAGCAGGAUCUUCUCUACGCUCCGGUCCUGAAGAAGAGAUGAAGGUUUGCAGGACACCGAGGCCUUGAAGACGCCGACCUGGAGUGACGACAUCUCUAGUCAACUGAAUGACUUGAGGCUGAGCUCUACAAUUUCUUUUAUUUGCUAAACUGUUGAAACACACAUCUGUGGUUUCACUUACUUCACUCAGUGACCCAGUUAGAGGCCACAUAGAGCAGAGACAGCUGACUGAAGAAGACUCCGUGUUAAUGUGUGAAAGAGAAGAAGAAACAUUAAUAAUGUUGAAUGUGAGGCUUUGUGUUCAAUUUAUUUGUGUUUUUUUUUUAACUCAGCAACAAAAGCAUGUUAUCCAAUAAUCAUCCAGCAGCUACAUGAAACCUUUCAUAU